GACGAACGCUGGCGGCGUGCCUAAUACAUGCAAGUCGAACGCUGAAGGAGGAGCUUGCUUCUCUGGAUGAGUUGCGAACGGGUGAGUAACGCGUAGGUAACCUGCCUGGUAGCGGGGGAUAACUAUUGGAAACGAUAGCUAAUACCGCAUAAUAGCAGUUGUUGCAUGACAACUGUUUGAAAGGUGCAAUUGCACCACUACCAGAUGGACCUGCGUUGUAUUAGCUAGUUGGUGGGGUAACGGCUCACCAAGGCGACGAUACAUAGCCGACCUGAGAGGGUGAUCGGCCACACUGGGACUGAGACACGGCCCAGACUCCUACGGGAGGCAGCAGUAGGGAAUCUUCGGCAAUGGACGGAAGUCUGACCGAGCAACGCCGCGUGAGUGAAGAAGGUUUUCGGAUCGUAAAGCUCUGUUGUAAGAGAAGAACGAGUGUGAGAGUGGAAAGUUCACACUGUGACAGUAUCUUACCAGAAAGGGACGGCUAACUACGUG
rnacentral:rRNA from 1 species